AAAAAAACCCCCCUAAAACAAAACAACAACAAAACAAACAAAAAAACACCAAAAGAAUUUCUUACCCAGCAAUGAUAAUUUGGGGAAAAGAAAAAACAAACAAACAAACAAAAAAAACGUACAUAUGAAUGGGAAAUGUUAAACUAGAGAAGAAGAAAAAGUUGAAGGUGGAGAAUUUUCAUCACCAUGUAAAGAAAGGAAACGUUUGAGCAAAAUAAAUGGAUGCUGAGAGUUCCUGUUGUGGCUCAGAAGUAAUGAACCCGACUAGUAUCCAUGAGGUUUCAGGUUCCAUCCCCGGCCCUGCUCAGUGGGUUAAGGAUCCGGCAUUGCCAUGAGCUAUGGUGUAGGUGGCAGACAUGGCAGGGAUUUGGCCUGCUGUGCCGUAUGCCAGCAGCUUCAUCUCUAGUUUACCCCUAGCCUGGGAACUUCCAUAUUCUGUAGGCAUGGCCCUAAAAAGCAAAAAAAGAAAAAGAAAAGGAUGCUAGAUUCAAAGACCGAAAGAGAGGAGGAUGGACACACUUAAAAUUUAAGCAAUGCAUAUUUAAAAGGGGAAAGAAAGAUCGGAAGCCAAUCUGAGUGAACAAAUAGAACCUCCUUUUUGUUACUUUAUUAUUAUUUUUUAAAAGUACUCCACGGGUUCUGGGGGCUAUAAUUUCUAUUAGAACUUAGUCUUAUUGGAGCUUAAAAAUAUGAUGAUAGCCUUGAGAGGCAAAAAUGAAAGAUCAAACGUAUUAAAGGCAGGAUGAUUCUUGGUCCAAAGUGUGAAGAAAGCUGAGAGCAUCAGAUCCUACUGCUGCUUUCUGUGUUUUUCCUUCACAUUUCCGAGGGACCACUCCCCCUCCAUUCUCACCGUGGCCUCAUCCCACUAGAGUUAUUCCUCGAUCCUGGACUCCUUUUCCCUCCUCUGGGCCCCACUCUCUGAUAAGAAUUAAUGGAUGUCUACUGCUUAUUAAUUACCUUAAGGAAUCUCUGUUAAUGUGUUGGCUGGGUAACUGAUCAUCUUAUCGAUAGCAGAGCUUUAACCCUUCAAGAUGAAUACUUAGCCCUGAGGUCUGCUAUAGGCCUGGCCAGAGGAGGGGAAUAUUUUUGAACAAAAGCAGUGUUUUUUUUUCUGGUCCUUUACCCCAAGAGGGACAGUGACACAAAUCUGUUCAAAUAAAUUAAUGUUGCUUUUCUGAUAACAGCCCCAUAUGGCAGGAAGACGUUUACUUGCCAGUAUGUAGGCUGACUGACAUGCCCCACCAAUCCCUUCAUUGUAUAUUUGCACGAAGAGACAUGGAGUGGAGUAAAUUCAAUUUUCUGUUAUUCAUUGACCUAUAUACCUGCUAAUCUGUGUAAUAUGUUUGUUCAGGAAAUUGCAGUAGAAGAAGACUCUUGCAUCAUAGGUGCAGAGGAGGGUCCAAAGAUGUGAUUUUCAGUUUAUCAAGUGAAAUCAGAAGUGAGGUCACUGCAGAGAAGAAGGAUGGGGAGAAGAUUUGGGAAAUUUGAGGAGAAGACAAGGUAGGAGAGAACCUGAUGGUGAUUAGUCUUGGGAGUGAGGGAUGGCGUGGGUACCCUGAAACUGGCAGGGUGGGCUAUCCUUAUGGUCAGUUAGUGGUGGCCAGUCACUUAAUUGUGGCCAGGUUGUGAGUGGUGGGCUUGGGACUCUUCCAGAGUGCAGAGUGUCCAUCAUGGUCUUUGCUGUGGAGACUGGAGGCUCUCAGGCAGAUGGGUUACAUUUAAUGCACAGACUCCUUCUUGACAUAUGAUGACAUUUUACACAUAGUCUCAUUUCCCGUUACGUUGAGAUUGAGAUGACAGUUGAUUAUGUUGACCUGAUGACGUUGGUCAGACAUGCACCGAUUCCAGGCUGGUUGCACUGUGGCUCUUAGAAUAAUGAUGCAAGUAAAAUUAAAUAAA